rnacentral:rRNA from 1 species
GAUCAGCCGUGUCUCGCGAAUGCCUUAGCAUUAAGUUGAUCAUGGCUCAGACGAGGGCGUAAGGCCAGAUGCCUAACACAUGCAAGUCGAGCGGAUGACGGGAGCUUGCUCCUUGAUUCAGCGGCGGACGGGUGAGUAAUGCCUAGGAAUCUGCCUGGUAGUGGGGGACAACGUUUCGAAAGGAACGCUAAUACCGCAUACGUCCUACGGGAGAAAGCAGGGGACCUUCGGGCCUUGCGCUAUCAGAUGAGCCUAGGUCGGAUUAGCUAGUUGGUGGGGUAAUGGCUCACCAAGGCGACGAUCCGUAACUGGUCUGAGAGGAUGAUCAGUCACACUGGAACUGAGACACGGUCCAGACUCCUACGGGAGGCAGCAGUGGGGAGUAUUGGACAAUGGGCGAAAGCCUGAUCCAGCCAUGCCGCGUGUGUGAAGAAGGUCUUCGGAUUGUAAAGCACUUUAAGUUGGGAGGAAGGGCAGUAAGUUAAUACCUUGCUGUUUUGACGUUACCGACAGAAUAAGCACCGGCUAACUCUGUGCCAGCAGCCGCGGUAAUACAGAGGGUGCAAGCGUUUGAUCGGAAUUACUGGGGCGUAAAAGCGCGCGUAGUGGUGUAAGUUUGGGCUGUGAAAGCCCGGGGCUUCAACCUGGGGAAACUGCGUUCCAAAACUGGCAGCCUAGAAGUUAACGGG